UAAAUAUACAGUGCCUUGUCUAGUGGUCAUUCUUUGUAAUUGAUAUCAACAAGAAUCUCCAAAAAUGAAAUUGCUGAUAGUUUUUGCAGUAGUAGUAGGCAACUGUUGCUGUUGCUGAGCAAUGUAAACAAUCAUCUGACUGUAUGUUUGAGAACUGCGAUACAAACGUUUCCCACAUCGCUUGUCAUAACCACGUGUGUACAUGUGACGCAAACGGCCAGACCGGAAACACAUGUUCAAGCGCCUCUGAAUGUUCAAGCAGAGUUAAAUGUAGGGACCGUCACCAGGCUCACUGUAUAGAUGGAAGUUGCAAAUGUUUAUUCGGUCUUGGCAAAUAAAUAUAUAAUAUUCUA